GUUGCUGCAGUUAAAAAGCUCGUAGUUGGAUCUCGGUAGCAUUGUUGCCUGUUGGUAUUUGAGCGGCCGGUGUGUGGUUAACGGUGGCCAGCCGUGGCGUCUGUACGUUGGUGGACCGGUUAGUAGAUUUGUCGGUAAGUCGGCCUGUUACUUUGUGGGUUGGCGGUUGAUGCAGUCAGUUGGUUGAUGUGUCUGCGUGCGACUGUCGGUGGGUGUGUGUAACGGCGGCGAUCGGUGCUCUCGUUUGCACGUGGUUGCUUGUUCGUGUGCUCACUUGCUACGUCGUUCACGCGUUGGUUCACUCGCCUGCUGGCUCGCUCGCUCGUUUGCUCGCUUGGUGGCUGGCUGGGUGACCAUAUAGUUUACUUACUGGUUCACUUAUUCACCUGCAGCGUUGGGGCUGUGUCGUCGUGGCCAUCGAUCAGCACUGUCGUGUCAAGCCGGCAAGGCGAUGGUGUCACCUUUAAGCCAUGUCUGUGGUGUAAUAGCCGCAGGUGUGGGCGGGUGUUGGACAGUGCUUUGCACACGUUGUGGAGCCUGUCGGCUCGUCUGCAUGCCUUUGGAUGCCCUUCAAAAGGUGUCUGUGGGCGGAUGGCACGUUUACUUUGAACAAAUUUGAGUGCUCAAAUCAGGCCGAUGUUGCCUGAAAAGUUUUGCAUGGAAUAAUGGAAUAGGAC
rnacentral:rRNA from 1 species